CUUUCCAGCUGCACCUACUUACCAACUGAAGGAGAAGCCGUAUAAAAGCUGAGCAGAAACUCCAGAAGAUGAGAACUUCUCUCCAGAGUAUGCCCUUUGGCUGUAGGGAGAUUUUGAAGCGAGCUUCAUCCGGCUCCUCGACCAGGUGACCCGAAUCGAGAUCAACCAGACGGGAAUGGUGUUGUUCUAUCAGCUGGGUUUGCUGUAUGGAGGCUUCGUGGUGCACGAGUGUAACGUCCAGCGCUCGAUCGGUUAUUAUCUGGAGGCUCUGCUCAUGUUGGCCCCGUUUUUGAAGAUGCCGCUCAGAGCCGUGCUGAAGGGUGUCGCCAACGACCCCACAGACCCAUCGCAGGUAGCGGAGCCUGGUUCGCAGCUCUGAGAUGGUCAUCUUCC